UGGCUCAGAGGAUAAAGCGUCUGCCUGCAAUGCAGGAGACCCAGGUUGGAUCCCUGG
rnacentral:tRNA from 1 species